UCCCCCCCUUUUUUUUUCAAAACAUGGUCUUUUGUUCAUAUAAAAGAUCUGGCCUGCCCCAUGAUUUAGUUUGAAUGGCUGCAGUAUUUUGACUGUACAAAGGUAGCAUAAUCAUUUGUCUUUUAAUUGAAGGCUGGUAUGAAUGGUUAGAUGAAAAAUAUACUUUCUUUAUUUUAUAAUAAAAAUUUAAUUUUUUAGUUAAAAAGCUAAAAUUAUUUUAUAGGACGAGAAGACCCUAUAGAACUUUAUUUUCUAAAUAUAUAUUUUUUAUGGUUUUAUAAAAUUUUAUAUUUUUAUGUUAAUUUUAUUGGGGCGAUUGAAAAAAUUAUAUAACUUUUUCUAUAUUUAUCAUUUAUUUAUGUUAUUUUGAUCCUUUAAUAUGGAUAAUAAGAUUAAGUUACCUUAGGGAUAACAGCGUUAUUUUUUUGGAGAGUUCUUAUCGAUAAAGAAGUUUGCGACCUCGAUGUUGGAUUAAAAUAAGUGGCAGGAGUAGAAUAUUGUUUACUAGGUCUGUUCGACCUUUAAAUUUUUACAUGAUCAG
rnacentral:rRNA from 1 species